GAUGAACGCUGGCGGCGUGCUUAACACAUGCAAGUCGAACGGAAAGGCUCCUGCUUGCAGGGGUACUCGAGUGGCGAACGGGUGAGUAACACGUGGGUGAUCUGCCCUGCACUUCGGGAUAAGCCUGGGAAACUGGGUCUAAUACCGGAUAGGACGAUGGGUUGGAUGCCAUUGUGGAAAGUUUUUCGGUGUGGGGUGAGCUCGCGGCCUAUCAGCUUGUUGGUGGGGUAAUGGACUACCAAGGCGUCGACGGGUAGCCGGCCUGAGAGGGUGUAAGGCCACACUGGGACUGAGGGAAGGCCCCGACACCGACGGGAGGGAGCAGUGGGGAAUAUUGCACAAUGGGCGCAAGCCGGAUGCAGAGACGCCGCGUGGGGGAUGACGGGCUUCGGGUUGUAAACUCCUUUCGCUAGGGACGAAGCGUUUUGUGACGGUACCUGGAGAAGAAGCACCGGCUAACUACGUG
rnacentral:rRNA from 1 species